GGAAUAUUGGACAAUGGGCGCAAGCCUGAUCCAGCCAUGCCGCGUGCAGGAUGACGGCCCUAUGGAUUGUAAACUGCUUUUAUACAGGAAGGAACAGUUCUACGUGUAGAACCUUGACGGUACUGUAAGAAUAAGGAUCGGCUAACUCCGUGCCAGCAGCCGCGGUAAUACGGAGGAUCCAAGCGUUAUCCGGAAUCAUUGGGUUUAAAGGGUCCGUAGGCGGUCAGAUAAGUCAGUGGUGAAAGCCCAUCGCUCAACGGUGGAACGGCCAUUGAUACUGUCUGACUUGAAUUAUUAGGAAGUAACUAGAAUAUGUAGUGUAGCGGUGAAAUGCUUAGAGAUUACAUGGAAUACCAAUUGCGAAGGCAGGUUACUACUAAUUGAUUGACGCUGAUGGACGAAAGCGUGGGUAGCGAACAGGAUUAGAUACCCUUG
rnacentral:rRNA from 1 species